rnacentral:rRNA from 1 species
UUGAAGAGUUUGAUCAUGGCUCAGAUUGAACGCUGGCGGCAGGCCUAACACAUGCAAGUCGAACGGUAACAGGAAGAAGCUUGCUUCUUUGCUGACGAGUGGCGGACGGGUGAGUAAUGUCUGGGAAACUGCCUGAUGGAGGGGGAUAACUACUGGAAACGGUAGCUAAUACCGCAUAACGUCGCAAGACCAAAGAGGGGGGACCUUCGGGCCUCUUGCCAUCGGAUGUGCCCAGAUGGGAUUAGCUAGUAGGUGGGGUAACGGCUCACCUAGGCGACGAUCCCUAGCUGGUCUGAGAGGAUGACCAGCCACACUGGAACUGAGACACGGUCCAGACUCCUACGGGAGGCAGCAGUGGGGAAUAUUGCACAAUGGGCGCAAGCCUGAUGCAGCCAUGCCGCGUGUAUGAAGAAGGCCUUCGGGUUGUAAAGUACUUUCAGCGGGGAGGAAGGGAGUAAAGUUAAUACCUUUGCUCAUUGACGUUACCCGCAGAAGAAGCACCGGCUAACUCCGUGCCAGCAGCCGCGGUAAUACGGAGGUGCAAGCGUUAAUCGGAAUUACUGGGCGUAAAGCGCACGCAGGCGGUUUGUUAAGUCAGAUGUGAAAUCCCCGGGCUCAACCUGGGAACUGCAUCUGAUACUGGCAAGCUUGAGUCUCGUAGAGGGGUAGAAUUCGUGUAGCGGUGAAAUGCGUAGAUCUGGAGGAAUACCGGUGGCGAAGGCGGCCCCGACGAAGACUGACGCUCAGGUGCGAAAGCGUGGGGAGCAAACAGGAUUAGAUACCCUGGUAGUCCACGCCGUAAACGAUGUCGACUUGGAGGUUGUGCCCUUGAGGCGUGGCUUCCGGAGCUAACGCGUUAAGUCGACCGCCUGGGGAGUACGGCCGCAAGGUUAAAACUCAAAUGAAUUGACGGGGGCCCGCACAAGCGGUGGAGCAUGUGGUUUAAUUCGAUGCAACGCGAAGAACCUUACCUGGUCUUGACAUCCACAGAACUUUCCAGAGAUGGAUUGGUGCCUUCGGGAACUGUGAGACAGGUGCUGCAUGGCUGUCGUCAGCUCGUGUUGUGAAAUGUUGGGUUAAGUCCCGCAACGAGCGCAACCCUUAUCCUUUGUUGCCAGCGGUCCGGCCGGGAACUCAAAGGAGACUGCCAGUGAUAAACUGGAGGAAGGUGGGGAUGACGUCAAGUCAUCAUGGCCCUUACGACCAGGGCUACACACGUGCUACAAUGGCGCAUACAAAGAGAAGCGACCUCGCGAGAGCAAGCGGACCUCAUAAAGUGCGUCGUAGUCCGGAUUGAGUCUGCAACUCGACUCCAUGAAGUCGGAAUCGCUAGUAAUCGUGGAUCAGAAUGCCACGGUGAAUACGUUCCGGGCCUUGUACACACCGCCCGUCACACCAUGGGAGUGGGUUGCAAAAGAAGUAGGUAGCUUAACCUUCGGGAGGGCGCUUACCACUUUGUGAUUCAUGACUGGGGUGAAGUCGUAACAAGGUAACCGUAGGGGAACCUGCGGUUGGAUCACCUCCUU